AUUGAACGCUGGCGGCAGGCCUAACACAUGCAAGUCGAACGAGUGGCGGACGGGUGAGUAAUGUCUGGGAAACUGCCUGAUGGAGGGGGAUAACUACUGGAAACGGUAGCUAAUACCGCAUACCAUCAGAUGUGCCCAGAUGGGAUUAGCUUGUUGGUGGGUGAACGGCGACCCAAGGCGACGAUCCCUAGCUGGGCUGAGAGGAUGACCAGCCACACUGGAACUGAGACACGUUCCAGACUCCUACGGGAGGCAGCAGGGGGGAAGAUUGCACAAUUGUCGCAAGUCUGAUGCAGCCAUGCCGCGUGUAUGAAGAAGGCCUUCGGGUUGUAAAGUACUUUCAGCGGGGAGGCGUUACCCGCAGAAGAAGCACCGGCUAACUCCGUGCCAGCCGCCGCGGUAAUUC
rnacentral:rRNA from 1 species